CAUGUCCUUUUGAUAAUAAUUUAAGGUCUAAUCUGCUCAAUGAAAUUUAAAUAGCCGCGGUAUUUUGACCGUGCUAAGGUAGCAUAAUAAUUAGUUUCUUUAUUGGGAGCUGGAAUGAAUGAUUGGACGAAAAAAUUUCUGUCUCUUCCUUAAAAAUUGAAUUUAACUUUUUAGUGAAAAGGCUUAAAUUUUUAUUAAAGACGAGAAGACCCUAUAGAGUUUGAUUAGUUUUUACAAGUUUUGUGUUUAGAAUUUUAUUAUAAAUUUGUAAGCAGUUAAUUUGAUUGGGGUGAUUACGAGAUUUAAAAAACUCUUGUUGCUUAAAAUCAUUAAUUUAUGAUUUUAGAUUCUAAAUUUAUUUAAUUUUAAAAUAAGUUACCUUAGGGAUAACAGCGUAAUCUUACUUUAGAGUUCUUAUUGAAAGUAGGGGUUGCGACCUCGAUGUUGGAUUAAAAUUAAUUGUUGGCGCAGUAGCUGUCAAAUUGAGUCUGUUCGACUUUUAAAAUUUUACAUGAUCUGAGU
rnacentral:rRNA from 1 species